AUUCAAAUAGCUUAGGUUAGAGCACAGUAUUGAAGAUACUGGGGGAAUCAGAUAGAUUUUUGAAUA
rnacentral:tRNA from 1 species